GACGAACGCUGGCGGCGUGCUUAACACAUGCAAGUCGAACGGAAAGGCCCUGCUUUUGUGGGGUGCUCGGGUGGCGAACGGGUGAGUAACACGUGAGUAACCUGCCCUUGACUUUGGGAUAACUUCAGGAAACUGGGGCUACUACCGGAUAGGAGCUCCUGCUGCAUGGUGGGGGUUGGAAAGUUUCGGCGGUUGGGGAUGGACUCGCGGCUUAUCAGCUUGUUGGUGGGGUAGUGGCUUACCAAGGCUUUGACGGGUAGCCGGCCUGAGAGGGUGACCGGCCACAUUGGGACUGAGAGACGGCCCAGACUCCUACGGGAGGCAGCAGUGGGGAAUAUUGCACAAUGGGCGGAAGCCUGAUGCAGCGACGCCGCGUGCGGGAUGACGGCCUUCGGGUUGUAAACCGCUUUCGCCUGUGACGAAGCGUGAGUGACGGUAAUGGGUAAAGAAGCACCGGCUAACUACGUG
rnacentral:rRNA from 1 species